GCCCAGAUGGCGAAAUUGGUAGACGCGCUAGUUUCAGGUACUAGUGUUUAACGACGUGGAGGUUCGAGUCCUCUUCUGGGCACCA
rnacentral:tRNA from 7 species